rnacentral:rRNA from 1 species
UCAGGUGGGACCACCGCGCUACUGCCGCCAGGCAAAUUCUGUUAUCAGACCGUUUUUACGUUCUGAUGUAAUCUGAAUCAGUGCUGAAAAUCGUCUCUCAUCCGCNNNNNNNNNNNNNNNNNNNNGAAUCAGUGCUGAAAAUCGUCUCUCAUCCGCCAAAACAUCUUCGGCGUUGUAAGGUUAAGCCUCACGGUUCAUUAGUACCGGUUAGCUCAACGCAUCGCUGCGCUUACACACCCGGCCUAUCAACGUCGUCGUCUUCAACGUUCCUUCAGGAGACCUAAAGUCUCAGGGAGAACUCAUCUCGGGGCAAGUUUCGUGCUUAGAUGCUUUCAGCACUUAUCUCUUCCGCAUUUAGCUACCGGGCAGUGCCAUUGGCAUGACAACCCGAACACCAGUGAUGCGUCCACUCCGGUCCUCUCGUACUAGGAGCAGCCCCCCUCAGUUCUCCAGCGCCCACGGCAGAUAGGGACCGAACUGUCUCACGACGUUCUAAACCCAGCUCGCGUACCACUUUAAAUGGCGAACAGCCAUACCCUUGGGACCUACUUCAGCCCCAGGAUGUGAUGAGCCGACAUCGAGGUGCCAAACACCGCCGUCGAUAUGAACUCUUGGGCGGUAUCAGCCUGUUAUCCCCGGAGUACCUUUUAUCCGUUGAGCGAUGGCCCUUCCAUUCAGAACCACCGGAUCACUAUGACCUGCUUUCGCACCUGCUCGCGCCGUCACGCUCGCAGUCAAGCUGGCUUAUGCCAUUGCACUAACCUCCUGAUGUCCGACCAGGAUUAGCCAACCUUCGUGCUCCUCCGUUACUCUUUAGGAGGAGACCGCCCCAGUCAAACUACCCNNNNNNNNNNNNNNNNNNNNCCAGACACUGUCCGCAACCCGGGUAACGGGUCCACGUUAGAACAUCAAACAUUAAAGGGUGGUAUUUCAAGGUCGGCUCCAUGCAGACUGGCGUCCACACUUCAAAGCCUCCCACCUAUCCUACACAUCAAGGCUCAAUGUUCAGUGUCAAGCUAUAGUAAAGGUUCACGGGGUCUUUCCGUCUUGCCGCGGGUACACUGCAUCUUCACAGCGAGUUCAAUUUCACUGAGUCUCGGGUGGAGACAGCCUGGCCAUCAUUACGCCAUUCGUGCAGGUCGGAACUUACCCGACAAGGAAUUUCGCUACCUUAGGACCGUUAUAGUUACGGCCGCCGUUUACCGGGGCUUCGAUCAGGAGCUUCGCUUGCGCUGACCCCAUCAAUUAACCUUCCGGCACCGGGCAGGCGUCACACCGUAUACGUCCACUUUCGUGUUUGCACAGUGCUGUGUUUUUAAUAAACAGUUGCAGCCAGCUGGUAUCUUCGACUGACUUCAGCUCCAUGAGUAAAUCACUUCACCUACGUGUCAGCGUGCCUUCUCCCGAAGUUACGGCACCAUUUUGCCUAGUUCCUUCACCCGAGUUCUCUCAAGCGCCUUGGUAUUCUCUACCUGACCACCUGUGUCGGUUUGGGGUACGAUUUGAUGUUACCUGAUGCUUAGAGGCUUUUCCUGGAAGCAGGGCAUUUGUUGCUUCAGCACCGUAGUGCCUCGUCGUCACGCCUCAGUGUUAAAGUGAACCGGAUUUACCUGGAACACACACCUACACGCUUAAACCGGGACAACCGUCGCCCGGCCAACAUAGCCUUCUCCGUCCCCCC